GGUGGGACCGAGAGACUGAAAAAUAGCUUCUAUCUCAAAGCUAUCACACUGUUAAACAGCCAUCACUAACACAGAGAGGCUGCUGCCUACAUAGAGACUUGAAAAUAUUGGACACUUUAAUAAAUGGAUCACCAGUCACUUUAACUUCUUCGGGAUCGGUGUUAUAUGUAUAUAUUCUUACUCAAUUCCUUACUUAGAUGUGUGUGUAUUAGGUUGCUGUUGUGGAAUUGUUCGAUUACAUGUUAGAUAUUGUUGCAUUGUCCGAACUAGAAGCACAAGUAUUUCGCUACACUCGCAAUAACAUCUGCUAACCAUGUGUAUGUGACUAAUAACAUUUGGUUUGUAUGGAAGUGGACCUCGCCCUGGGGCGUCUUUUUACAAUUAUAGGCCAAUAGCUUACCUGUCUGUGUUACAAAAUAUUGCUACAAUCAUUGUCAUUGGCGAUAUAAACCCAUUUGGAAGUUGAUACUUGUUGUGGGCGGUCUAACUUGUCUUUUUAAUUCAUUUUUUUUUUGUGAAAAGGGUAAAGUGAAAGCUACUGGAGAUUGUUUUGUCUGACUUUUCUUAGGAGGUAGGUAGCCUUACUAAAAACCGGGACGUCAACAAAGAUGCUCGCGCGCCGCUUCAGGAAGAAUAAACGUGAUCAUAGGAACAAGGCGUAAUGGGACCGUCGCAAUUUUGAGGCAACCUCGGUUAUUUGCAGCUGUUACCAAUUCAAGCGUAUGUAUAAACUCAAGGCAAAUCCAUUUUUUAUGCAGUGUUCCGCUCAGAUCAAUAAGACAGUCGUUACUGCCAAGAUGCCUUUCAGGGGGAAAGUGACUGGAGGCAAGUGCUAUGUCUGGUGUGCAUGUGGACACAGCAAGAAACAGCCCUUCUGUGACGGUGCUCACAGGACUCAAGCACCCAGUAUCUCUCCACCACACUUCACUCCCGAGAAGGACAGCACCCUUAUGCUGUGUCCUUGUAGGCAAACCAAAAAUGUACUUUACUGUGAUGGCACACAUUUCAAGGUCAUCUUCUAGCAUCUAGUCAGCUCAGUGGAAAAAAAAGUGUUUAAAAUUAAUAACUUAUUAAAAAAUAAAUUAAACAUGUCAUGAAGUGGCUAACUUCCUUAUACUGUACUGCCUAUAUUGAUUGUUCAUAAAUCACUUGUUGACAAACAUUUUAUUUAUGAUAAAUGGAUAAAGGCAUUUAUGUUUUGUCACUGUCCAUAGGGUAAUAAAUAACAGCCUACUA